UGGGGAAUAUUGGACAAUGGGCGGAAGCCUGAUCCAGCAACGCCGCGUGAGGGAUGACGGCCUUCGGGUUGUAAACCUCUUUCAGCGGGGACGAAGUUUUGUCUUUUUGGGCGAAGUGACGGUACCCGCAGAAGAAGCACCGGCCAACUACGUGCCAGCAGCCGCGGUAAUACGUAGGGUGCGAGCGUUGUCCGGAAUUAUUGGGCGUAAAGGGCUCGUAGGCGGUUUGUCGCGUCGGGAGUGAAAACCCAGGGCUUAACCCUGGGCUGGCUUCCGAUACGGGCAGACUAGAGGUAUGCAGGGGAGAACGGAAUUCCUGGUGUAGCGGUGAAAUGCGCAGAUAUCAGGAGGAACACCGGUGGCGAAGGCGGUUCUCUGGGCAUUACCUGACGCUGAGGAGCGAAAGUGUGGGGAGCGAACAGG
rnacentral:rRNA from 1 species